rnacentral:lncRNA from 1 species
CCAACAUCAAUAUCAUAAAUAGUAUUACUAUUAUUGUAUUUGAGACAAUGGUCCUAAUUUUCGUAAUAUGUGUGUUAUAUUUCCAACUUAUGGGUUUUUGAACUUUAACUAUAUUUCAACGCAAACACUUGGAUAUACAAUAACACACGCUACCAACCACAUUCAAUGCAAAUAUCUAAUAUUCUUCUUAUUUUACACGCUACCCAUUGCUACCAUAAACCAAUGGUUCAAACCUAACCUUCUGUUAAACCAGCGAUCAUGUCGGCCUGCUCAUUAAUCUAACGCGAGUUGAAAAAGGCUCAACGCCUUUUAAGUUCUUUAAUAGCUGGCUCAGGGAUGACAAAUUCAAUGAAGAAUUCCGAGCAGCCUGGACAAAGUCGGUGGAGGGCUCCCCGCUAUAUGCCCUGCAACAGAAGAGUAACGCAGUCAGGGGUAUGGGUAAAAAAUGGGCGAAAAAAUUGAGGACAAUGAACAGACCAUCGAGAACAAUAGCAGCGGAAUUGCAGAUUGAGGCAACUAGGCUUCGAGCAGACCCAUUCAACCAAAUCGUGCAGAAGUCGUGCAAGGAUCUGAAAGCAGAGCUGUCCGAAUCCCAGUACAAAGAGCAGUUGGACCUCCAACAACGAGCCCAUGUGAACUGGAUCUUGGAUCUGUAACAUCCUACUUAGGUAUGUUAACAAUCUAAUACUAAAAUUGACAACAAAAGGAAUUUACGAGUCCAAUAAUCUCAUAAUAAAAUAACCAACAAAACUAGAAUUUCAAAUAUAACUAAAACAAGGUUUUGCUAACAACAUUGUUUAAGAUCUAAUUUAAUGAUUGAAAACUCCGAGGUGCCCCAUCCCGUCCUCGUGUCCUGUUACGUCUUCUUCCACCCUACCACAUCACAAAUCAAAAUAGGGAUGAGUUACUAUAUCAUGACUCAACAUGGUUUCCCCUACAUAUCAGUCAGACCGCAUGGUAAAGCAAUUAAAAUCACAAUUAUCAAGUAGAUCAUAAUAUUUAUUCACUAUAACAUAACACUCACACUUCACUUAUAAUUUUAUCAUUCUGUAACACUCACAAUUCACUUGUAAUUUGGUUCAUACCAAAACUACCAUCACUCAAUAACACUUCACUUCCCCAUCACAAUAUUUCAUUUAUAAAUUCACCAAUCAAUUAAAAUCGUAAAGACAAAUAUACAAUCAUUUGGUAAUUGGGAUAGGCAAAUCUCGUUUUGUUUUUGAGACCUUUCCCUACACAAUCCGCACCAAGCUUUCCAACCACCUCGACACCUCCUUGCUCGUUUCCCGGAUGGUCCUUCGUCGGAGCUUCGUCUCCGCCUCCACCCUAGCCUUGCUGGAAUAGUUACCUUUCUUCCUCCACUCACGUUUCCCCCCACCUUCCCUCUUUCCAUCCUUUGUCUAUAUACUCCUUUUCUUUUCUUUCUAAACCAUAACCAUUAUUUUAACAUGGUUUUCACUUGAAUAAGCCCAACUCACGAAAUUGGCCCACUCUUAAGUUGAAUAUAU